UACGAAGGGGGCUAGCGUUGUUCGGAAUCACUGGGCGUAAAGGGCGCGUAGGCGGCCGAUCAAGUCGGGGGUGAAAGCCUGUGGCUCAACCACAGAAUUGCCUUCGAUACUGUUUGGCUUGAGACCGGAAGAGGUUAGUGGAACUGCGAGUGUAGAGGUGAAAUUCGUAGAUAUUCGCAAGAACACCAGUGGCGAAGGCGGCUCACUGGCCCGGUAUGACGCUGAGGUGGCGAAAGCG
rnacentral:rRNA from 1 species